GGGGAAUAUUGCACAAUGGGCGAAAGCCUGAUGCAGCAACGCCGCGUGAGUGAUGAAGGCCUUUGGGUCGUAAAGCUCUGUCCUAAGGGAAGAAACAAAUGACGGUACCUUAGGAGGAAGCCCCGGCUAACUACGUGCCAGCAGCCGCGGUAAUACGUAGGGGGCAAGCGUUAUCCGGAAUUAUUGGGCGUAAAGAGUGCGUAGGUGGUUAUUUAAGCGCGGGGUGAAAGGCUACAGCUUAACUGUAGUAAGCCUUGCGAACUGGAUGACUUGAGUGCAGGAGAGGAAAGCGGAAUUCCUAGUGUAGCGGUGAAAUGCGUAGAUAUUAGGAGGAACACCAGUGGCGAAGGCGGCUUUCUGGACUGUAACUGACACUGAGGCACGAAAGCGUGGGGAGCAAAC
rnacentral:rRNA from 1 species